AUGGUCUUGGCUUCUUUGACGGGUGAUGUCAUCUGGUAGUCGUCGCCCAGCAGACCAAGCAGAGGACUCGGACCCUCUGCUUUCGUCAGCCCUGCCAGACUUAUCUUAAAAAACCUCCUGUUGUGUUCUCUGUCUGCUCCCAGUUCCUCCCGAAACCAAACCCUAACAGACCUCUUCCUGUCGGGUGAUGGUGGUCUGUCGCUGAUCCAACAUGGCGAGCAGCUCUGAGAUUUUCAGCUGGAG